UUAAAGAUAUUUGGGAAGUUAAUUUACUGGAAAUGAGGAAAUCCUUGAAAGAUUGACCAACCUCGAGCUCUAUAUGCGGGUCCCAGAAAUCCUGGCAAGGAGGGCGAAUUGAUCUCACCCAUAAAGCAUGCGACUGGACUGGUCAUUUUUCUUGUGACUUGCUAUUUGGACUGGAUCAUAAGUUGAAAUUCAAAGCAUGCGGGAGAGAUCAAUACCAUUAGCAACGAAGGAUAGAUUGGUUGUGGUUUGAUGCAGCUGGGGAGUGCCCAUCCGAUACACUUCUUUAUCCUCGAGCGUUCUGGCUCAUCAAGCGGUCUAUUUUCAACUUCUUUUUGCUCCAGUCGGAUGCUGAUAUUCUUCAUUAACUAAACGGUCCGUUUCUCGCAAACGAUCAACCCAUGUAAAAAUAUCCGUUCCCUGGAAGAGGACGGAUUCCACCUCCCUCAUGCCGAUUUAGGAACUCGUUAGUGAGGAGAGGAAGAUCAUAUUAGGAUUUCGUUAGUUUAUCUUGAUACUGCGACUAUUCAAAAGCGAUGACUGACCACCAACACAAAAUCACAAAAGACAAUAAUACUUGACAAGCCAUUCAUGUGCUGAUAAAGAGGGCAAAAUAAAGGGACGAGCCUGGCGAAAUAAAACAACAUGCAAUAGAUGUGAGAGUUGGUCAGUUGCGACCAAGGGAACUACAAAUUACAAAGUGAAGUGAUGGAACUGUUAGAACAUUCAGUUAUAGCUGACUACUAGGAACAGAACGAGGUUUCUAAGGAGAGAUAAUCAAAAACGCACGCUAGAUAAAAAAGCUGUGUGUGAACUAUCCAAAAUGGAUGGACUGGAUAUAUGAGCUCCUUCGCCAAUUACAGAUAUAUAUCCAAAUACAAGUAAGUCAGGUAGAAGCACAAGUGCCUCGUGUGGAGGCAUGAUUAAGCGGGAGAUCGGUGGAAGGGGCAAGGGGGAUAAGGGACAUUUGGAAGCGGGAUUUGAAGAGUAGCUGAUAGGGCGCGAGCGCUAUAUAGAUGUGCGUAGUACGUGUGAGUGGGUGCUAUGUAAGAUGCUGAGAUAUGGUUGGUUUUUAAAACAGAAUUAAGCAAAACCGGGAUUCCUUUUAUUUUAUGUGGAUGUAGCAAACAUAAAUUACUGAGAAGUAAAAAGAAUAAAAAGAGAAGGGGGAAAGGGGGAGAGAAAGGAGGAUACAAGAGAGAAGAGGAAUCUAGAAGAUAGCUGAUGAGAUAGAACAGGGGA
rnacentral:sRNA from 1 species